rnacentral:rRNA from 1 species
AUUGAACGCUGGCGGCAUGCCUUACACAUGCAAGUCGAACGGCAGCACGGGUGCUUGCACCUGGUGGCGAGUGGCGAACGGGUGAGUAAUACAUCGGAACGUACCUUAUCGUGGGGGAUAACGCAGCGAAAGCUGUGCUAAUACCGCAUACGCCCUGAGGGGGAAAGCGGGGGAUCGAAAGACCUCGCGCGACUAGAGCGGCCGAUGCCUGAUUAGCUUGUUGGUGGGGUAAAAGCCCACCAAGGCGACGAUCAGUAGCUGGUCUGAGAGGACGAUCAGCCACACUGGGACGGAGACACGGCCCAGACUCCUACGGGAGGCAGCAGUGGGGAACUUUGGACAAUGGGGGCAACCCUGAUCCAGCAAUGCCGCGUGAGUGAAGAAGGCCUUCGGGUUGUGAAGCUCUUUUGUCAGGGAAGAAACACCGGCUCUAACACAGUCCGGGAAUGACGGUACCUGAAGAAUAAGCACCGGCUAACUACGUGCCAGCAGCCGCAGUAA